UGAGCAAUCUGCCCUUCUCAUCGGAAUAAGCGUUGGAAACGACGUCUAAUGCCGAAUACGACCUCCUUUCGCAUGAUCGGAGGUGGAAAGCUCCGGCGGAGAAGGAUGAGCUCGCGGCCUAUCAGCUAGUUGGUGUGGGUAAUGGCCCACCAAGGCGACGACGGGUAGCCGGCCUGAGAGGGUGACCGGCCACACUGGGACUGAGACACGGCCCAGACUCCGUACGGGAGNAG
rnacentral:rRNA from 1 species